CCCAUCGCAAAGGGGAGCCAUGUUGCUGAGAAUGAGUAUAACUCUAAACCCUUGAACCUGAAUCGUUAAUACGAGCGUAGGAAUUGUGAUGGAGUAAGAU
rnacentral:ncRNA from 2 species